rnacentral:lncRNA from 10 species
AGUGAGACACUAGAAAGAUGUGUUUGUUGAACUGGAGAUAAGGUAAGUACAUGACCUUGUCUUAUCUAUCAAUAUAGAAAGGUUUAUUUCUUUUAGAUGAAUCACUUUUUACAAAACUUAUAAGCCUGACUAUUAUCAGCAUCUUGAUGAAUUAGGGGAAGCAGCUGAGAGGUGAUAACCAUUCAGAAUUCGAAAUUUACUUAAGCCUGUUUGUAUUCAGUAAAUCUAAAUACCCAUAUUGUCUGACUAGUAUCCUUAAGCUCAAUGACUAUUGCAUCAACACAUAUAAAGAUUACCUAUCACAUUGGAUUGCAUACAGAAAAUGUGGUACAUAUUCAACAUGGAAUACUACACAGCCAUAAAAAGGACAAACUCAUGUCCUUUGCAGCAACAAGGAUGCAGCUGGAGGCCAUGAUUCUAAGUGAAUUAAUGUGGGAACAGAAAACCAAGUAUCACAUGUUCUCACUCGUAAGUGGAAGCUAAACAUUGACUACAUAUGACCAUUAAAAAUGGCAGCAACGGACACUGGGGACAGGAAGAAAGAAGCGGGGCAUGGGCUGAGAAACAACUUAUUAGAUACUAUGCUCACUACCUGGGCGAUGGGACCAUCUUUAUCCCAAACCUCAGUAGCAUACAACAUACACGUAUAACAAACCUGCACAUGUACCCUUUGAAUCUAAAAUAAAAGUUGAAAUUAUUAUUUUAUUUUCAUUUUGAUUAUUAUUAUUAUUUUUUGAGAUGGAAUUUCGCUCUUGUUGCCUAGGUUGGGGUGCAAUGGCAUGAUCUCAACUCACUGCAAAUUCCAUCUCCCAGGAUCAAGCAAUUCUUCCUCAGCCUCCCAAGUGGCUGAGAUUACUGGUGCCCAACACCAUGCCUGUUUUUUUUUGUUUUUUUUUUUAAUAUAUUUUUAUCAGAGACAGGGUUUGACCAUGUUACCCUGGCUGGUCUCGAACUCCUGACCUCAGGUGAUCCGCCAACCUAGGCCUCCCAAAGGGCUGGGAUUACAGGCGUGAGCCACCGCACCAAGUCAAAAUUUUUUUUUGAAAAACUGACUCUCCCAUCUGUUGGCAUAGAGAAACAAUAGAAAAUGGUGGCUCUCCUGGCUGGUAUGUGGGAUCUGGCAGUUUAAAUGCCUCAUGUACAAAUUUUUCUGGGUUUAGCAUCAUCUAAUAUCCUCACCUUGAAAUGUAUUAUCUGCCAUCAAUUCUAAAAUCUUUCUGAAGUUUUGGGAGGACAACUCAGCUUGCUUCUUAUUAGUUUUGCUUCUGAGAUACUUAAUGUUCAGCUUUCUUAAAUCUAAUAAAGCAGUUUCUACCCAUAUCUCAGCUUUCCAAAUUCAAAACUUUUGUUGAUGAGUCUUGUAUCUGGUAUCUUCUCUCUAUUCUCUCUUCCCAUUUUUGACCUUGGGAAUUUAUAUUUUCCUUUCCAUCUACUGUCAUUUUAGUGGAGUGUGUAAUGAAAUAAAAUUUUUAAAAUUGUGUGUUCUUUUUUACCAGGAUGUCUAUGUUAUCUCACUUUAUCUGUACAGCAAUCCUGUCCUCCAGUGACUAUAUUGCAAUGAGUUAAGAAGAGAGUUUCAGAAAGAUAACAUGCCUGGCCAAGGGGAAGAAAACAGAUUACCAAUAUCAGGAAUGAAGAAGGAUAUAUUACUGCAGUUCCUAUUGUCUUAGAAUAAAGAAUGGCUUAAGUAAUUUUAUGUCAAUGAAUUUGACCACUAAAAUUAUAUAAACAAAUUAUUUUUAAAACCAACUUAAAAAGAUAUAAUAGUUGGCCUAGGCUUAUGUAUACAAACACACACACACAGACACACACACACACACACACACACACACUCACAAAUAUUAAAUUAUCAAAAACCUUCCCCAAAAGAAAACGCG